rnacentral:rRNA from 1 species
UACGUAGGCAGCGAGCGUUGUUCGGAGUUACUGGGCGUAAAGGGCGCGUAGGCGGCGUGACAAGUCACUUGUGAAAUCUCCGGGCUUAACUCGGAACGGUCAAGUGAUACUGUUGUGCUAGAGUACAGAAGGGGCAAUCGGAAUUCUUGGUGUAGCGGUGAAAUGCGUAGAUAUCAAGAGGAACACCAGAGGCGAAGGCGGAUUGCUGGGCUGAUACUGACGCUGAGGCGCGAAAGCUAGGGUAGCAAACGGG